rnacentral:lncRNA from 1 species
UCCUGUCCAUCCCGUGGACGGAACAGCAGAGAACCGAGGAGGUAGAGGCAGAGGUUCCCGGUGGAGCCGAUACCGGAUGAGACAAGUCGUAGUGUCGUGGAAGAAGCUCAUCGGAAAGUUCAACGGGGUCAAUAGGGAGUCCCCAACCUCUCGGCGGAUCUUGCCUUCGCAGUGGCUCCUGGCGCCAUGCUACCACCUUAUAUUCUUCUUUAAUUGCCAUUGAGGCCCCUAUUGCGCACCAUCUUUGAUGAUUGUGCUUUGAAGUCUUUCUCACA